rnacentral:rRNA from 1 species
GGGUUGUGAGGUUAAGCGACUAAGCGUACACGGUGGAUGCCCUGGCAGUCAGAGGCGAUGAAGGGCGUGCUAAUCUGCGAUAAGCGCCGGUAAGGUGAUAUGAACCGUUAUAACCGGCGAUACCCGAAUGGGGAAACCCAGUGUGAUUCGUCACACUAUCAUUAACUGAAUCCAUAGGUUAAUGAGGCGAACCGGGGGAACUGAAACAUCUAAGUACCCCGAGGAAAAGAAAUCAACCGAGAUUCCCCCAGUAGCGGCGAGCGAACGGGGAGGAGCCCAGAGCCUGAAUCAGCAUGUGUGUUAGUGGAAGCGUCUGGAAAGGCGCGCGAUACAGGGUGACAGCCCCGUACACAAAAGCGCAUGUGCUGUGAGCUCGAUGAGUAGGGCGGGACACGUGGUAUCCUGUCUGAAUAUGGGGGGACCAUCCUCCAAGGCUAAAUACUCCUGACUGACCGAUAGUGAACCAGUACCGUGAGGGAAAGGCGAAAAGAACCCCGGCGAGGGGAGUGAAAAAGAACCUGAAACCGUGUACGUACAAGCAGUGGGAGCACCCUUUGGGGUGUGACUGCGUACCUUUUGUAUAAUGGGUCAGCGACUUAUAUUCUGUAGCAAGGUUAACCGUAUAGGGGAGCCGUAGGGAAACCGAGUCUUAACCGGGCGUUAAGUUGCAGGGUAUAGACCCGAAACCCGGUGAUCUAGCCAUGGGCAGGUUGAAGGUUGGGUAACACUAACUGGAGGACCGAACCGACUAAUGUUGAAAAAUUAGCGGAUGACCUGUGGCUGGGGGUGAAAGGCCAAUCAAACCGGGAGAUAGCUGGUUCUCCCCGAAAGCUAUUUAGGUAGCGCCUCGUGAAUUCAUCUCCGGGGGUAGAGCACUGUUUCGGCUAGGGGGCCAUCCCGGCUUACCAACCCGAUGCAAACUGCGAAUACCGGAGAAUGUUAUCACGGGAGACACACGGCGGGUGCUAACGUCCGUCGUGAAGAGGGAAACAACCCAGACCGCCAGCUAAGGUCCCAAAGUCAUGGUUAAGUGGGAAACGAUGUGGGAAGGCCCAGACAGCCAGGAUGUUGGCUUAGAAGCAGCCAUCAUUUAAAGAAAGCGUAAUAGCUCACUGGUCGAGUCGGCCUGCGCGGAAGAUGUAACGGGGCUAAACCAUGCACCGAAGCUGCGGCAGCGACGCUUAUGCGUUGUUGGGUAGGGGAGCGUUCUGUAAGCCUGUGAAGGUGGCCUGUGAGGGUUGCUGGAGGUAUCAGAAGUGCGAAUGCUGACAUAAGUAACGAUAAAGCGGGUGAAAAGCCCGCUCGCCGGAAGACCAAGGGUUCCUGUCCAACGUUAAUCGGGGCAGGGUGAGUCGACCCCUAAGGCGAGGCCGAAAGGCGUAGUCGAUGGGAAACGGGUUAAUAUUCCCGUACUUGGUGUUACUGCGAAGGGGGGACGGAGAAGGCUAUGUUGGCCGGGCGACGGUUGUCCCGGUUUAAGCGUGUAGGCUGGUUUUCCAGGCAAAUCCGGAAAAUCAAGGCUGAGGCGUGACGACGAGGCACUACGGUGCUGAAGCAACAAAUGCCCUGCUUCCAGGAAAAGCCUCUAAGCAUCAGGUAACAUCAAAUCGUACCCCAAACCGACACAGGUGGUCAGGUAGAGAAUACCAAGGCGCUUGA